CCCCUAGAUGUUCUGGGCCGCACGCGCGCUACACUGAACAGUUCAACAAGUCUUAACCUUGGCCGAUGGGUCUGGGUAAUCUUUGAACGCUGUUCGUGAUUGGGAUAGACCUUUGCAAUUAUGGGUCUUCAACGAGGAAUUCCUAGUAAACGCAAGUCAUCAGCUUGCAUUGAUUACGUCCCUGCCCUUUGUACACACCGCCCGUCGCGCCUACCGAUUGAAUGGUCCGGUGAAAUCUCGGGACGGCGGCUUGGUCGCUUGCGUCCGACUGCUGAAACUUGAUUAAACCAUAUCAUUUAGAGGAAGGUGAAGUCGUAACA
rnacentral:rRNA from 1 species